GAUGUUAUUAAUAUUAGGCACAGAUUUUUUCCUACUAAAAGUUAUUCAAAAGACAGCAAAACUAGUGUAGUGAUUGCCAUUUUCAUGUCUCUCUACCCUCUUAAAAGAUGUGUUUGACUAAUGCUUUGGCACGAACCAAAGACAGAGGGGUCUGUUAUUACUUAUUAAUAAGAGAAAAAGGCCUUUGCCAUUUGCCAUUGCGAGUUCUGAAUUUCUGACCUGCCAUUUAUGAUUAGUUAUCACCACCACCACCGCUCACCUUUGCCGGAAAAUGCCUCAUUUAUAAAUCUUUUGCUAGGAUGUUUGCUUGGGUUUUCUUAUAUAUGUACACUCUUAUAGUACCAAGUAAUUGAUUACACAAUCACAGCAUUUUUAACUUUGGCUUAAGAAGUUCGAGUGGGACACAAAUUUAAACACAAAGAGAUCACCCAUACUGACUAAAUUACCCUCAAUACAUCAUUAAAUUUAUGAUCAACUGCCAUUAUUUCAAUCUUAACAAAAAAAAUUAUAAAAUAAAUAAAUUAACAAUUAUGUCCUUUUUUUUUUUUUUUACAUUCUUGUUCUAUCUUCUAUUUUCCUGUCGACCAAACAUCACUAGAUUCAUUUUGUCUUUAUACUUCCCAUUCAUAUCACCUGUUGCAUUUCAAACCCUAAAACAAGAAAAGGAAUCUUCAUAUGUCUGCUUAUUUUAUAUCAUCAAUGCAUUAACUUUCAAAAUCCAAAAACUUUCGUUGCCCCUACUAUUUCAGACGUCGCCCCGACUAUUUUCGUUGCCCCAGCGGUGCUGUUGUAGUGGCUGUUGGUUGAGGUUGUUGGAUUUCAAUGUGUGGAUGGGUUUUCUUGGAUGGAUUUAUGUAAUUUUGGAAAUAAUAUCUGAUGAGUUUCAAUACACAUCUUAGGAAUGGCUAUUCUUUAUGUUGGAUUUUAGGUGGAUUUGCUGGUAACUGGUUAAUCCGAACCUAUUUAAUUUAUUCAUAUUAAUUACAAUUAAUAUUUAUUAAUUAUAUUUAUUUUAGAAUAGUUAUUUUAUGCAAGUAACUGUUAGAUUGUUUCGGAAGAAUACUAUAUCCAUGUUAAGUGGGUAUGUGGGAAGUAAACUCCAUGAAGAACUCAAUUUCUUUGCAUCGAUCAUCAAGAGAAAAUCCCAGCAAUAGAACUUUAGUAAAUUGAAUUGCGAAACAAACAUACAUUUCUUUAGUUAUUUAUAUGAGACUUAGUCUUAAUCAUUAUAUUUGUAGGAUAAGAGCUAAGGUGAUCUUUACUUCAUUCUUAUUUAAUUUUGUAUAAAACAACAUUGAUAUUAGAGUAUUAUGAUGAUUCAUAUGUUGUGUUUGAUUAUCUUUUUAUUUUAUUUAUAGCAUAUAAAAAUCGAGUUUUUCUGUAAUCAUAUUUAGGGCAGUACUAUGGGGAUGGUAUUUUGCCAUGAAAGUUAAAUAUUUUUAAAAUAGGAUAUGAGAGUUUUAAAUCGAUAUAUAGAAUAAUUUUUUUUGGAGUUCUAUAUUAAAAAAUAUGAUGCAAACUUGGGCGCUUGAAAUUUAAAUUUUAAAAUUUUUAAUUUCAUAAAUAAUGUAGUAACUUUGGCAUAUUCUUUUUCGUCUAUAUUUACUUGUUAAAUUUUAUAAUUGAUAUGUAUUUAAAGUAUGAAAUGAGAUCUUUAAUUUGAUGUAAAGAACACUGAGAAUAGAUUAUAUAGAAAAAGUUAUGAAUUUUCAAAUUAAGGAUGUUGAGAAUCAGAAUCUGGAAAUUAUUUUUUCAGAGUCUAUGGUUCUUGAUAUUGAAAAUGAAGUAACUUUCACUCUCUUCAUCUCUUUCUCAAAUACAUACUUUUACGCAUCAAAAUCUAAAACUAAUUGCACCGUUAAACUCACAUGGGAGGCGACGCACGUAUGACACCCGCCAUUCACUACGCAUGUGGCAACAUUUGGCUGCUGACUGUUGUCCUCAGCAAGUUUCCUUCCCCACUCGCACCAGGUGGCGUGUGGGACAUGUUCAAUGUCUCCAAAAUGCGGUUUUUGACACCCUACCACCAUUGGAUUCCAUAUUGCAUGGUGGUAUUUUUGGUAAAUUAGAAUUAACUUUUUCAUUUAUUUUUAAUUUUUUAUAGGAUAUAAAAUAUUAAAAUAAAUUUAUUUUGAUAUUGAAGUCCAAUGAGAAAAAAUAAUUAUUUUACAGUCUAAUGCAUACAUGUUGCAACACAUUAUAUUGUUAGCCUCAUUCUGGCUCAAGUUUUUAUUGAUUGCUAUUGCUUGUUCUUUUGCCAGUUGUAAUAUGUAAUAUCUUGAUCUUUGAAAGAACAUUCAAUUAUUCUCUUCUCGAAUCUAUUUCACCACGACCUCAUAAUCGGACAUAUUUCUUCAACGAAGUGCUAAUGAACGUCGUUUCACAACUGGAGCUCCCAAUGAACGCACAACUAAAUUCAAAUUAACUGCUUCAUCGGAUCUAAAGUCUCACUCAUGAUGCAAACCAGCAUAAUACUCUUUUGGAUUUGUAUAUUUCUCAAAAUGAUAUUGAUCAUCAAAUUGUAGUAGCACCCAAACUCUUUUUAUUCUUUCAUAACUUGAAGAACUAGUCAUACUCAAAUUCAAUAUGAUAUUUAUAAUUUGGUUACAAUAUGGUUUUAUAUUACAAAAAAGGAAUCCAUAAGGAUAAUAAUACAAUCAUGAAUGUCAUGUGAACUUCUUUAAAUUAUUAUAGAAAAGGAAUCCAUACGGACAAUAAUAUAUUAUACGAAAUAAAUUUAUUGUGUAGUCAAUAUCAAAAAAAUUAUAUAUAGUAAAGUCAUAAUGGUGAUGUAUAGUCUUGUCAACUAAUAUAUAUGCAUCAGUGCAUGUGAUAUUUUUUAUAUUGGUAUUGUAGGUAUGGCAGCUUAUCAGGGUAACUGCAUUCAGCCUAGUCCGCUCGAUCCAUCAUUAUCAUAUUUACAGCCACAACACGUAUUGUCACGACCCACUUUGUGGGCCCGUGACCGGCACUAGGGAAUGGGUAGGCUUAAGGCCACCAAAACCCGUAGUAAGCCUUACCAACCCGCAAAAUCAGAUAUACAAUUAUCAAAAUAUAAAGUAGUCAUAAUUGUCUUGCAUAAUAAAUCAUCAUAUUACCAACAUGAGUCAAAAAUCGUUAUAUAAAUUUUAAAAUUUCCUACUGCGGAUACUCUAGAGUAAUAAUGACAAGUAUAUAAGUACAAGAUAAUUACAAAAGUCCGAAGAAGAAGAAGUCGGACUGUCAAAUGUGCGAUGGCGAAGGUCUUUAACUGCCACCUGAAAAAAAAAAAAAUUUACAACUGAGACUGUCAGUCUCGAGAGUGAGUCAAAAUCAAAUAAUCUAAGGACUAUUGCAACUUUCACAUGAUAUAUUAAUUAUUCAAAACAAUAUACCAAUUUCUGAAUACAAUUGCAAUCAUAAUAUAAAAUCAUACACCAUAAUAAUAAAAUGAUAAAAGGAGAGAGUGUAAAUAAAUAAAGACAUUUUUACUUUCACGGGACGUGUGGCUAAGUAGAACCCUAACCCCAAAUUCUAACAGCCAUUUUGGCUCUCUUAAUCCAAUAAGACUGGCGCCCUGAGAGCAAUGCUCGACCAGGGACCUUACCUCCAGUCUGGUCACUUAAAUAUCCAAAUAAGAAAUCUAGUAGCCAUUCGGCUCUCUUAAUCCAAUAAGACUAGCGCCCCGAGAGCAAUGCUCGACCAGGGACCUUACCUCCAGUCUGGUCACUUAAGUAUCCAAAUAAGAAAUCUAGUAGCCAUUCGGCUCUCUUAAUCUAAUAAGACUGGCGCCCCGAGAGCAAUGCUCGACCAGGGACCUUACCUCCGGCAAUUUACACAAAUCAGCCCAGAGAGCCAUGCUCGACCAGGGCAAACCCAAAAAUAUCUUAUUACAUGUCCAUGAUCAUUACCGGUGUGCACGCGGUCCUGAUGUAACCCAUCAGGCGGCAUGUUCUACAAGCCACAUUUCCCAAUUCGCAAUCAUCACAUAUAAUAAAUAUCAUUAUCUGAUAAACUCAACCAACACAUAUCGAAAUAAAGAUUAAAGAUUUAAGGUAAAACAACGUGCAAUUUGUGAGGAGAAAAAUAAUAACGUUUAUCUUAUUAUAACAUACUAAUAAUAAUAUUUAU
rnacentral:lncRNA from 1 species